rnacentral:sRNA from 1 species
AAAAAGAAAGAGCUCAGAUUCGAGGCUAUAUCAUCCGAUAGAUCAGAGAUAUGUGAAGGACCCAACCUUCACUUAAACCAAUUUCGUCACCGCUCAAUGCACCAGCCGGGAAUCGAACC